CACUAGUUGGGAAUUAAAGCUAUUCUCCUGAUGAGCCCAAGGCAAGGCGAAAUCAGUC
rnacentral:hammerhead_ribozyme from 13 species